rnacentral:rRNA from 1 species
UACGUAGGGGCAAGCGUUGUCCGGAAUUAUUGGGCGUAAAGCGCGUGUAGGCGGCCAGAUAAGUCCGCUGUGAAAUCUCGAGGCUCAACUUCGAGCUGUCGGUGGAAACUGUCUGGCUAGAGUGCGGAAGAAGCGAGUGGAAUUCCGUGGGUGAUAGCGGUGAAAUGCGCAGAUAUCAGGAGGAACACCUAGUUGCGAAGGCAGCUCGCUGGGACGUAACUGACGCUGGAGAACGCGAAAGCGUGGGAGCAAACAGG